rnacentral:sRNA from 1 species
GAGCGCCAGAUGGGUCCCCGGAGACCGG